CCUACGGGAGGCAGCAGUGGGGGAUAUUGCACAAUGGGGGGAACCCUGAUGCAGCGACGCCGCGUGGGUGAAGAAGCGCCUCGGCGCGUAAAGCCCUGUCAGCAGGGAAGAAAAUGACGGUACCUGAUGAAGAAGCCCCGGCUAACUACGUGCCAGCAGCCGCGGUAAUACGUAGGGGGCAAGCGUUAUCCGGAUGUACUGGGUGGAAUGGGGGCGCAGACGGCGAUGCAAGCCAGGAGUGAAAGCCCGGGGCACAACCCCGGGACUGCUUUUGGAACUGCGUGGCUGGAGUGCAGGAGGGGCAGGCGGAAUUCCUGGUGUAGCGGUGAAAUGCGUAGAUAUCAGGAGGAACACCGGUGGCGAAGGCGGCCUGCUGGACUGCAACUGACGUUGAGGCCCGAAAGCGUGGGGAGCAAACAGGAUUAGAUACCCGGGUAGUC
rnacentral:rRNA from 1 species